AGCCGUCCCCGCAUAGAUAAGCAACAGAUCCAAGUGUGUUGCUUAGUUGACUCUUGGACCGCUGUUUUGCAGAUCUAGCGUUGUUUAUAAUCUAUCUAGCGUAUGGCUUGUGGAGUGCUCGUUAUCGUACCUACGUAACGGAUUUUCCCUGACGCUGGGACUUUCCCCUUCAAUUUAGUGCUCACCCCCUCUCCACUUUUACUCACUGAGUAGAACACUACAACUGAGCACGACCCUGAGCGCCGUGAUCAGAUCAAUGAGCGUAUGCUCAGAGAUCCAAAGCUGAGCAGGCUGAUUUGCUUACCAAGUACAAUAUAUGCCUGCAUCGAUAUCAUAUUCACGAUGUCAAAUCUAAAUCGGCGUACUUUUUUCUCUUAGUUCUUAUCUAUCUACGUCUCCUCGUAUUAAAGGUAGUCAUAAACUAUGCUAGAAAGGAGCUAUACCUACAAUAUCCCUACAUCAUAUGACGUGAUGCUUCUCCAAGCAUAUAUGGUGAGGGCGGGCUUCCUGUAUACCAUUAGAAACUAUACGGUGAAUACUCCAUCUCUACUAGAGACUAGCUCGACUUGUAUGAGAUGUUAACAAUUGAUUCAUCCAGGUUGAAUGGAUGAUGACAAGUUCAAGGGGCCUUCGUUUUUAGGAUUGUUUCUUAGUAUUACUGUUACCGAGUAUUUCCGGUAUCGUGGUAUAUCUGUCUUGGACAGCCACACCAUUGACAUGUGGCUGUGCUAUGUAUUGUAAUAUAUACGUAAGCUGAGGCGAAAUUGCCGCACCAAUGAAACCAAAGAUACGGCUUUUUGUACUCUGAUGGGGCUACACAGUUGGUGGAGUAGAUUCCGAAAUACAGAAAUGCGGAAAUCUUCCGCGCCUCAUUAAACCUGCGGCGACAUUCUAGGACGUUACGUACCCGUGCCGCAGGGUGAGGUCGCCUAGUUUGAACAUGCCUCACACAUCGGUACAAGUGAUGGCAAUGCUGUUGCUGCUGGUCAGCAGCAGCAGCAGCAGCAGACAGCUCCUCGAGCUUCUCGUUUUACUGACGGCCCUUUUGACGAGUCCGAUUCUGACGUUUCUGACGAUGAGUCCGCUUCUGAGCCUGCGCGUGCCCCUGGACAUUCUCAUGCCGAGGAACAGUAUCGAGAGCCUGGGAAGUCUAUGGAGUCUCAAGAUCCAUCUGGUCAGGGUUUCCUACUGGUUGCUGCCCUUCUCAAUAUAUUUCAGGGGCCCU
rnacentral:lncRNA from 1 species